rnacentral:tRNA from 1 species
GUUAGAGUAGCUUAGUUGGUAGAACUCUAAAUUUACAUUUGAAAAAUGUAUGGUCAUAAGUUCAAAUCUCAUUACAAACA